rnacentral:rRNA from 1 species
CCCGGGUCUUGUACACACCGCCCGUCACACCAUGGGAGCGGGAUGUACCAGAAGUAGGUAGGCUAACCGCAAGGGGCCGGCUUACCACGGUGCGUUUCGUGACUGGGGUG